AACAAACGCUGGCGGCGUGCCUAACACAUGCAAGUCGUACGAGAAAGGGUCCUUCGGGGCCUGAGUAAAGUGGCGCACGGGUGAGUAACGCGUGGAUAAUCUGCCCUUCAGUUGGGAAUAACUCAUCGAAAGGUGGGCUAAUACCGAAUAAUGCUGUGAGACCUCGGUUGAUCAGCCAAAGAGAGCCUCUGCUUGCAAGCGCUCGCUGAAGGAUGAGUCCGGGUACCAUUAGCUAGUUGGUAGGGUAAUGGCCUACCAAGGCGACGAUGGUUAGCUGGUCUGAGAGGAUGAUCAGCCACACUGGAACUGAGACACGGUCCAGACUCCUACGGGAGGCAGCAGUGAGGAAUCUUGCGCAAUGGGGGCAACCCUGACGCAGCAACGCCGCGUGAGUGAGGAAGGUCUUCGGAUCGUAAAGCUCUGUCGGAUGGAAAGAACCGCAUAGGGGUAAACAGCCCCUGUGUCUGACGGUACCAUCAAAGGAAGCACCGGCUAACUCCGUGCCAGCCGCCGCCGUAAUAC
rnacentral:rRNA from 1 species